CCCGCCCGGCGCCGCCGUACACCGCCGCCGCGCCUACCCCUGCCUCCUGCACCUGCUACCAUGGCACCGCCGGGACUCCUCCCCACUGCUUCCACCUCGACAAUGGUUUCCCCAACCCCGCCGGCUUCGCCACCAGCCACUCCUUCAUCCACAAUAAUCAUAGGAGACAGCUACACGGGCGAGCCUACGAGCAAGACCUCGACGACGCUGGCGGUGGAACACCACGGAUGUGAGGGCGCUUGGAAGGCCGCGGUGCCGCGAUUAAGUCAUGAGGACCGCGGCGGCAGCAGUCAAAAUCUUCAUGAAGUCUCUCCGCUUACCCUCCCUCGGUCUGAUUUCUCUCCAAUCUUUGAAUCCCCUCAGUUUGAACUAAUGCCAUGUAUUUUCUGAACAGUUAGUGAAUCAUUUGUCAGUUGAAAGAUGGUUGAUGCACCAAAAAAGAUUGUAUUGAUUCAAUCUGGAAAAGUCAAGAUCACAAUAGCAAUUACAUAUGCAUUUGUUGGGCCAAAAGUAGCAGUUACAUAUGCAUUUAGUUAAUCUUUUGGCCUAUCACCGUUUCAUGCAUUUUUUUGUGGACUUUCAUUUGACCUUGAGUGUUGACUUGCUUUUCUGUUGCUAACAAUGUCCGGCUUGCCGAAUGUACUUGCUUAUCCUUGUACUGGAGUACCAUUAUUCACCAUAUACACACUUUCCAAUUCUGUCUGUUUACUAUCUAGGAGUCAGACCAUGGCUGCACGGAGCAGGUCCACCCACUAGGGGCUGGCCGCCGUGUCCGCCAUGAGGAUUCCUGCACUAAGCCUUGCCGGCGUUCCCGGCCACCAAGGUACUUCUACUUAUGUGUCUCUAUAAGAUUCCUGCAUAUGUUUUUGUGCUUUCCACUUAAUGCAUUGUUAGCUCUAUGUUACACUUCUUUUAGGUACUUCCUGCUCCAAAAUCAAUAUACAUAGGCAUAUUUGCUCAUGAAACUGCUCUGGUUUUUCUUUUAGAGUUUACUCCCAUUUACUUGUGUCGUUCUACAAUAAUAACAGAAUUGAUAUCGAUUAAACUUCUUUGAGUAUCUUGAAAUUUAAUGAUUUCCCAUGGAAUAUGAAGUUUGAGAAUGACACCUGCUGAGCUGAAAAUAAUCUAGCGAGCAAUAGUAUAAUGAAUAGUUAUUACCGUAUCGGCAUCACAUUGCUCAUGGGUGAAUAACACAACAAUAAACUAGAAAAAUGGAAAUGCUCUGUUUGGUUUGGGUACCAUUCAGGAAAGUAGUUAACAGAGAUAGACUAUUUGACAGUUGCAGAGUGACACCACCACCACAUAUGAAGCAGAGAGUUUGUAAAGAGACACUAAAUAAUCAUCUGGAGUGAGACACAAUUGCUUUCUUGUUUAGUGAAGACGAUCUUUUUUGGGGUGUAAUAUAACUAUGGUAGCUCUCUGGAGUGAGAAUGCCGAGGCCCUAAAAAACAGCCAUCGACACGGAGUUCCUGCCAUUAAGGAUAAAAAAGCUAGCAGAGAAACAGCUUGGGGAAUCACAAGCUUAUCUUGCCUUUUGAAUGUGCAGCCUGUAACCAGAGAAGCUUGUUCUAAUUAUCGUAUGCUUAUUUUCCCCGAGCUGUUUCUCUGCUAGCUAUUAUUCUCAAGCAACUACCAAACUAUGGAUAGAAGAAGUCUUAACAUGGAGCUAUUUCAAAACAAGAUGAGGAGAGACUCAAGAAUUUAAACAGUAAAAUACGAACCUGCACAUGAUCAUAUAAUGUGCGGAUCACAGGCUGGCCAAAGCCUUCUUUCGAGUCUCCUAACAUUGCCUGCUUAAUUUUCACUACCUGCAAGUACAACUAGCUAGAAAUUUCGGUAUGCUGCUAUGUGCCUUGAGUUUGUAAGUCAAGAUCUCUUUGCUUCCAGGAGAGUUUGACCACUCAUAUCUCUCUUUUUCUUGCCACCUGCACUUAGUAAUUUUUUUUCCUAUGAUAUAUAUUGUAUCAUUUUGGUUGCUGAAUAUGAUAGUCGUAGCCCGUCAAAAUAUUAUGAUAGCCGAUUGAUUCUUCUUAAAAGGUAUAUUGACUGUUGCAAAGUUUACCUGGUCUUCUAUUUAUAUUUUCCAGAAUACAGUCCUAGAGAUGUUGCUUUAUUUGAGUUCUGCUUAUUGCAUUUAUUGGAGCACUUGCAAUGGGCACAUUGAAUGUUUAAAUGUUCCUCUUGCUGCUGACCACACUACAGUUCAUUAUAUCUCAUUGAGACCUUAAUCAUCUUCCAUGUUUAUUAGAAGGUAGCAUAGUACUGGUUGAACCCGAUAGUUACCUGAAACCAUUGCUUAACACCGAGCCCCUCUACUUUCUAAAAGGUUUCCAUUUUGGUUUACUGAAUAUUUUUUCCUGCUUGAACUAUAUCAGUUGGGCAAGUGCUAGAACCCAGGAGCAUAUGAUUUUGCUGCUCAUGACAUACGCGUCAAUAUUGCAAUCAACUCUGACUGCAAUUGUAUAGACAAGGGCCUGCAUUCUAUAUGGAAGGUUCGACAUUGAAGCUGCUCGCAUUGAUCUGCAAUAGAUCUUGACUUCAGCGGAAAACGAGGUUUCAUGGAGGCAGUGCCUUAUUCUACAUGAUGGGAAUUCAACGGCAUUUUAUUGUUUUGUUCUUAAAUACUAGCUGGGUGUGCCGUCUAUUCACAGAUGAAGUAAUCUGAACAUCUCUUGCAGACAAAACGCUCGGGGAAAGUUCCCAGCCGUGCACCUGUGACCGCUGAAGAGGCAUACUGUUUUAGGAAUGCAUGACAGACUGGUCGCGAGAUUUGUGUCUAGGAUGGAAUUACAUGAUAUGUCAAAAUGGUGGUCUUUAUUAUGCAAUUUAACUGAUCUCUUGUUGCACCUCUCCUUUCCAGAAAAACAAUUAUUUAAUUUUUCAAAUUUGAUCUUC